AACGAACGCUGGCGGCAUGCCUAACACAUGCAAGUCGAACGAAGGCUUCGGCCUUAGUGGCGCACGGGUGCGUAACGCGUGGGAACCUGCCCCUCGGUUCGGAAUAACAGUUAGAAAUGACUGCUAAUACCGGAUGAUGACUUCGGUCCAAAGAUUUAUCGCCGAGGGAUGGGCCCGCGUAGGAUUAGCUAGUUGGUGGGGUAAUGGCCUACCAAGGCGACGAUCCUUAGCUGGUCUGAGAGGAUGAUCAGCCACACUGGGACUGAGACACGGCCCAGACUCCUACGGGAGGCAGCAGUGGGGAAUAUUGGACAAUGGGCGAAAGCCUGAUCCAGCAAUGCCGCGUGAGUGAUGAAGGCCUUAGGGUUGUAAAGCUCUUUUACCAGGGAUGAUAAUGACAGUACCUGGAGAAUAAGCUCCGGCUAACUCCGUG
rnacentral:rRNA from 1 species